UCUGUCUCUAGGUACGCAGCUCUGAUGAGAACUACGUGUCUGUAAUCUCUUGUUCUUUUUAUUCAGAUUGUUGCUCUAUCUGCUUUUUCGUUUCUUGAAGUCUUGAAUUAUAUGUCUAGCUAUGUAGUUAUUGAUUUUGAGCUCAACUUGUAGGAAGGUGGAAUGGGAAAUGAAGCUAUUUUUUUUUUUAACUCUGUUGUGUCGGUCAUUGUGUGGUAAAAUUUUCAGUAGCUAAUUGUAGAAACUUAAAUUGGAUGUGAAGAUGAGAAUUGAUGGACCUGAAGAUUGCUUUGCAUGACAAUUGCAUCCAACUAUUGGUUUGGUACAACUAGAAUUAGAUGGGGAAACACCAUUAGGUUAUGUAUUUCAUUGAUAAACUUAAAUGUUGUUUUGGUAUCCCCAGACUGACUGUGCCACUUUGAAAUGACAACUAAACAUAUGAUUGGAACUUUAUAAUUG
rnacentral:misc_RNA from 1 species